rnacentral:rRNA from 1 species
ACUCAAAUGAAUAGACGGGGACCCGCACAAGCGGUGGAGCAUGUGGUUUAAUUCGAGGCAACGCGAAGAACCUUACCAGGCCUUGACUUCCCGGUUAUAGGAUACAGAGAUGUAUCCGUCAGUUCGGCUGGACCGGUGACAGGUGCUGCAUGGCUGUCGUCAGCUCGUGUCGUGAGAUGUUGGGUUAAGUCCCGCAACGAGCGCAACCCUCAUCUUUAGUUGCCAUCAGUUCGGCUGGGCACUCUAAAGAAACUGCCGGCGUUAAGCCGGAGGAAGGUGGGGAUGACGUCAAGUCUUCAUGGCCCUUACGGCCUGGGCUACACACGUGCUACAAUGGUGGUGACAGAGGGCCGCUAACUCGCGAGAGUAUGCUAAUCUCAAAAAACCAUCUCAGUUCAGAUUGUAGGCUGCAACUCGCCUGCAUGAAGCUGGAAUCGCUAGUAAUCGCAGAUCAGAACGCUGCGGUGAAUACGUUCCCGGGUCUUGCACACACCGCCCGU